GGAGAGGGAGCCUGAGAAACGGCUACCACAUCUAAGGAAGGCAGCAGGCGCGUAAAUUACCCAAUCCUGACUCAGGGAGGUAGUGACAAGAAAUAACGAGCAGUGACAUCUGUUACUGAAUUGCAAUGAGCCGAAUUUACACCCCAUAGUGAGGAUCGAUUGGAGGGCAAGUCUGGUGCCAGCAGCCGCGGUAAUUCCAGCUCCAAUAGCGUAUAUUAAAGUUGUUGCAGUUAAAAAGCUCGUAGUUGAACUUCUGGCUAUUGCUUUAGCUGGCUUCGGUCGCUAAAGUCGUGGUCAUCCGCUAGGGAACUACGUUCGAACUUCACUGUUCGGCGUAAGGAACUGGCAUUUUACUUUGAAAAAAUUAGAGUGUUCAAGGCAGGCUAUCGCCCUGAAUACACAAGCAUGGAAUAAUGAAAUAGGACUACUUCCAUUUUAUUGGUUAUUGGAAAUAGUAAUGAUUAACAGGGACAGUUGGGGGCAUUAGUAUUUAAUUGUCAGAGGUGAAAUUCUUGGAUUUAUUAAAGACUAACUUAUGCGAAAGCAUUUGCCAAGGAUGUUUUCA
rnacentral:rRNA from 1 species